rnacentral:rRNA from 1 species
UACGAAGGGGGCUAGCGUUGCUCGGAAUCACUGGGCGUAAAGGGUGCGUAGGCGGGUCUUUAAGUCAGGGGUGAAAUCCUGGAGCUCAACUCCAGAACUGCCUUUGAUACUGAAGAUCUUGAGUUCGGGAGAGGUGAGUGGAACUGCGAGUGUAGAGGUGAAAUUCGUAGAUAUUCGCAAGAACACCAGUGGCGAAGGCGGCUCACUGGCCCGAUACUGACGCUGAGGCACGAAGCGUGGGAGC